GUGUUGUGUGUUGUGUUGUGUGUGCGUGUGCCUAGGCAUGCAAGUGUACAUGCAUAUUCUUAUAUACGUCUUGUAAAUAAUUGUUGAAGAUGGGUGAAGUGACGCUUCAGUUCCUCUGCCUGCCCUGUGGUGAGCAAUGAUGGGUAUUUUCUGUAUUAGAUCACGCCAGAACACACUCACUGAUGACAGUUGGGAAAUUAAGGUUUCUGUAUUAGAUCACGGCACAACACACUCACUGAUGACAGUUGGGAAAUMAAGGUUUCUGUAUUAUUCUGCAUUGACAUGACAACAUUCAGACGCAUCAGACCCCAACCAGAUCCAUGUGUUUAAGAGAGCUGGGAAUGUUGAAUAUGGUUUCUAAUUCUACACAUUCGGUUACAUAGCAUUAUAUUUAAAAAUUCCCAAUGUCAUGUUAAUGAGGACGGAACACAUCUCGGAUACAAGCUCUCAAGCACAGGCUCGCUCUGUAGAGACAGAAAUCUGUCAUUAGUGCUUCCCAUUUCGGGGAAUUUAGGUCACACCUCUGGGGAACCAUUUACUGUGGAUUAAACAUUUAGGCUAGGUCAUCACAAAAUGUGUCACUCCUCACGCUCACUGUCUGCACCAUAAAGUAUAUCUCAGUCACUCACAAUCCAGGCAGAACGAUCCAUGAGCCUCCGUAGUAGGAGAUGGGUGUUUGUGUUUCAUGUCAUGUUUAUUAACUAGUGUCGCUACUUUGAUUUUAAAGCACCUUUUGAUUCAA